rnacentral:lncRNA from 1 species
AAUAAAUUAUGGAAAAAAAUAUCCUUUAUACAUAUCAAAUAACACACUGGGUAUUUAUGACAUAAUUCAACACUUCUGUAACUACUUUCAAUUUGUUUUAUGAUUUUUUAUUUUGUUUUAUGAUUUAUUUUAUGAUUUUUUAUUUUGUUUUAGGAUUUUGGAUUUAAAAAACAGACCUGCUAUAGAGGUUAUCCCAAAUGUUCUGAGGCAGCAUCAAAACUAAGUCUUCAAUAUAACUCGCUUUUCGUGGAGGAAUACCUAAAAAAUAUUUACAUGACUUUCAAAGGCGGUGCUUAAAAUUAAAGAGCUUACUCAAAAUAGGCAAGUAUUCUCUCACACAUAAAGUCAUUUUUAAUGGUAAAUGGCCAAUCCUCCACACACCCUCCCCGCUCCUCCCCACAGUCCUGCGGAGACAGGGGUCUUACUCCGUAGUUUAGGCUGGCCUCCAACUCAUAGCAGUUUUCCUACCUCAGGCCCUCAAACACUGGGGUUACAGAAUUAUACAUACAAUCAUAUCUGUCUUUCAAUCAAUGUGCUUAAAUCUCUCAAAAAAAAAAAAAAAGUAAGUGAAAAGAAUUUUUAGUGACUGUGUUUCCUAAAUGUAUGAGCAUACGUUUUGAAGUACACAUCCAGUAUUUUUAUUUGUGUGUUUAUUUGGUAGCACUAGGGUUUGAAUCUAGCAUCUUAUACAAACUAACCAUUCCAUCAAUCUCUGAUCGCUCAGAAUAUUCAGAAGUAUAUAACGUUAGGUUUCUAUAUACAAUACAGGGUAUCUCCAGGCCCAGUAGCUUUACUACAUAAUUAACACUAGCAAGUCACCAACCUUCACAAAUCCUAAAUAUGCUUCCAUACUUUUAAAAGUCAGCUCUUCAUGAAGGAACUACAGAUAAAGAUGUCAGCUAAACCCAGCACACAGGAAUGGCUCUCACCAAGGAAAGUGUAUGUAGAAAGCUCACCCAACUGUAAUUAGCCAUCCAUGUGACUGACUAACGUAAAAUCAAUGCUCUCCCGACACUGAAAUAGUCUUUGGUAUUCUUUAGCUCCAGAACUGGGUUUCACACAAGGCCAAUUUCUAAAAUCAUAAGGAAUUAAACACACUCAGCUCUAGAUGGGGAUGGACAAUAAUCAGGAGAGGAGACUCUUGAUUCUUUCCUAAUUGCAAAUUAAACAGCAACUUAGUAUCACUAUUUUACCUAACAGUAUUUCUUACCUCCAUGGAUACAGAGAAAAUCAUUAUUUGAAAUAGGGCCAGGUUCAGCAAAGGUCUUAAAUUUAUUCAACCACUGUCGAGAUAUGUAGAACUGAAGGAGGCUAGGUUCCAUGAUGUUCAACAAAUUUGAUAUCCUCCGCCUCUCCUUUUGUGCCUCUUCACUGCUCUUCCUAUUGAGGACAACGCUUCAUUAACUUUAAUGCACAUUUUAUUACAAUAAACUAACAGCAUGAGUCUUCUCUUCAUUAUUCGUUUUAUCACAUACUGUAACUGUGGACCUUAUCAGCCCUAAGGAAUUCCAAAAGAAACUCUCUGUCCUUCUGCUCAACCAUUAUGCAUUACCCUAGGAGUCCCGCUGGAUCCUACCCGUGAGUACCACAUAACUACUGUACAAUGUCGGCAUCCGAUAUCAGGAAGAUCAAGUCACUACGCUGCAUUCUUGGUUCCUGUUCUAGUAUUUAGCAUUUUCUUAAAAUACUGAAAAGUAUCAAAGAUUUUUAUAGCAUACUUAAUUUAUUAUUGAAUAUUUUAGGGAAGAAAUGUGGUAAUUAAUUCCAACUUUGUCUACUUUUUUUUCUUUUUAAGUAAAAACUAAUCCUGGGCCAGUGAGAUGCUCAUUAUGAAGGGUGCUUGUCACCAAAUUGGAGGACCUGAGUUCAAUUCCCAGAACCCACUUGGUAGAAGGAGAGAACCAACUCCCAAAAGUUGUUCUUUGAACAAAUGAACUUUGGUGCAUGAAGGCAGGCAAAUACAUGCAUAUACACAUACACACAUACAUACAUGUUAAAGAAAGAAAUGAGGGCUGGAGAGAUGGCUCAGCAGUUAAGAAUACUUACUGUUCUUUGGAGGAACUGGGUUAGAUUCCCAGAACCUACAUGGUGCCUCACAACUAUCCAUAACUCCAGUUCCAGGAGAUCUGAUGCCCUCUUCUGACCUCCUCUGACACCAAGCACACAUGUGGUGCACACACAUACAUACAUGUAAAAUACCCAUACAUAUAAAAUAAAUAAAAAUUUAAAAAUAAGUAC